rnacentral:rRNA from 1 species
UACGGGGGGGGCAAGCGUUGUUCGGAAUUACUGGGCGUAAAGGGCUCGUAGGCGGCCAACUAAGUCGGAUGUGAAAUCCCCAGGCUCAACUUGGGAACUGCAUCCGAUACUGGAUGGCUUGAAUUCGGGAGAGGGAUGCAGAAUUCCAGGUGUAGCGGUGAAAUGCGUAGAUAUCUGGAGGAAUACCGGUGGCGAAUGCGGCAUCCUGGACCGACAUUGACGCUGAGGAGCGAAAGCUAGGGGAGCAAACGGG